AUUGAACGCUGGCGGCAUGCCUUACACAUGCAAGUCGAACGGUAACGCGGGGCAACCUGGCGACGAGUGGCGAACGGGUGAGUAAUGCAUCGGAACGUGCCCAGUUGUGGGGGAUAACUGCUCGAAAGAGCAGCUAAUACCGCAUACGACCUGAGGGUGAAAGCGGGGGAUCGCAAGACCUCGCGCAAUUGGAGCGGCCGAUGUCGGAUUAGCUAGUUGGUGGGGUAAAGGCACACCAAGGCGACGAUCCGUAGCUGGUCUGAGAGGACGACCAGCCACACUGGGAAGGAGACACGGCCCAGACUCCUGCGGUGGGCAGCAGUGGUGAAUUUUGUGCAAUGGACGCAAGUCUGAUCCAGCCAUGCCGCGUGCGGGAAGAAGGCCUUCGGGUUGUAAACCGCUUUUGUCAGGGAAGAAAUCUUCUGGGUUAAUACCUCGGGAGGAUGACGGUACCUGAAGAAUAAGCACCGGCUAACUACGUGCCAGCCGCCGCAGUAACAC
rnacentral:rRNA from 1 species